UACGAAGGGGGCUAGCGUUGCUCGGAAUCACUGGGCGUAAAGCGCACGUAGGCGGAUCUUUAAGUCAGGGGUGAAAUCCUGGAGCUCAACUCCAGAACUGCCUUUGAUACUGGGGAUCUCGAGUCCGGAAGAGGUGAGUGGAACUCCGAGUGUAGAGGUGAAAUUCGUAGAUAUUCGCAAGAACACCAGUGGCGAAGGCGGACUCACUGGCCCGGUACUGACGCUGAGGUGCGAAAGCGUGGGGAGCAAACAGGG
rnacentral:rRNA from 1 species